rnacentral:rRNA from 1 species
GGGAGCUUGCUCCCCGCUGACGAGCGGCGGACGGGUGAGUAAUGCAUAGGAAACUGCCCAGUAGUGGGGGAUAGCCCGGGGAAACCCGGAUUAAUACCGCAUACGUCCUUCGGGAGAAAGCAGGGGCUCUUCGGACCUUGCGCUAUUGGAUGUGCCUAUGUCGGAUUAGCUAGUUGGUGGGGUAAGAGCCUACCAAGGCGACGAUCCGUAGCUGGUCUGAGAGGAUGAUCAGCCACAUCGGGACUGAGACACGGCCCGAACUCCUACGGGAGGCAGCAGUGGGGAAUAUUGGACAAUGGGGGCAACCCUGAUCCAGCCAUGCCGCGUGUGUGAAGAAGGCUUUCGGGUUGUAAAGCACUUUCAGUGAGGAGGAAAAGUGGGUCCCUAAUACGGGCUCGCCUUGACGUUACUCACAGAAGAAGCACCGGCUAACUCCGUGCCAGCAGCCGCGGUAAUACGGAGGGUGCAAGCGUUAAUCGGAAUUACUGGGCGUAAAGCGCGCGUAGGUGGUUAGGUAAGCGAGAUGUGAAAGCCCCGGGCUUAACCUGGGAACGGCAUUUCGAACUGUCUGGCUAGAGUGUGGUAGAGGGUAGUGGAAUUUCCUG